UGUCAGCUCCGUGUUCUCUAUUCGACUGCCCUGUAAGGAGUAUGUUGAGAAUGACAGUUGGACUUCCUUUAGUCUUCAUCCUCAGACUGGUAAUACGAUACUCAGUGUUCAACAGUGUCUGUGUUCUGUUAAAACAGAAUUUGAGUGAAAGGGAUUCGGAAGGCAAAGAGAAAAAGAAUAGCAGAAGAAUUGAGGUUGAGCGCAAGUGGGAGGUGGAGCUAUGUUACAAAUACUUCUCCUACCUCCUACUCGGAAUGGCCGGCAUUUUACUGCUCCCUCUAUUUCACCAUGCAGAGAACAACAUACUCGCAGCCAUCGACCUCAACUCACUGCCAAGUAUACUUCAACAAAUAGGACUAACAGUUACAACAUGAUCAGCACCUUAUUCUGCAAUGUGAACUGAAUUUUGUAGCUAAACAGUUGCGAAAAUUCGAGCCAACAAGUUUAUUAAAAAAUUGCCCACAAGUUGUAUAAAAAACAACUGAAAGAAAUAUUUAAGAGCAAUAUUUGUUUUUUCCGGAGAAAUGGUGCAAACAAAGCUUGUUGUUCAGGCUGAACUGUCUCAAGGUUCAAACUUGUAAGAAAAAUUAGUUGGUCCGAAUUUUUGCAGCUGUCUUCAAAAUUGGUUGGCUAGUUUUUUGUCAAUCUACCUCUAUAAUGUUUCGACGCCUAUUCCUGUUUCAGUCGAGUAGUUUUUUUAAUUAUGGUUUUUUUACUCGUGACACGAAGUUGAAAGUUAUGAUUCACAUUUGUUUUAAUCUUUUGAGAACGUCAAAUUUCUUGCUCGUCUAAAUUUCAAAAGGCUUCGAACUAUUUUAGAGAGAUUUAUUGUUGUAGUUUGUCUAUAUUUAGCUGUAUUUUCAUUCUUGUUCAAUUCAGUUCAAAAACGGGCUACUUUGUACUUUUAAUUGUCAGUGUUGUAAUUGAAACUAAGUUAGUUGUAAGUUCAUGAACUGUUAUUCUGUUACUGUAUUUUCAUGAAGUUUUUUUCUUAUAUUCUCGAAAUGAUUUUAAGACACCAGGGCUAGCGUGUGUAAUAGUUUAUACAGUUUUAAAUCUUAGUGGCCGUUGCUAUCAUAUGAAAUCAAAUUACAAUAUGUUUAUGAACUCUCACUUUAGCCGUAAAUUCUUCAGAAACCAAAUACCUCUCACAUAAAACUUAGUUCAUUUUUGUCACUGAGGAAAAAAAAUGUUUUGUAUACCAAAUGACUUUUCCGAUUAGUGGAACUGGUGAAGUAAAAUUUCAAGUGAUUAUCAUUUCCAAGAAAGACCCUCUGAUCAGAAUUUGGUGCCGAAGUAUUUAUUUUUAGAUGGAAAUUUAUUGUUUCAUUUCCGAAAUGCUCCAACUCUUGUAAUUCUGUACAUAUCCCAACAGAUAAUAUAUUUAUGUUUUAUGCAACCAA